rnacentral:rRNA from 1 species
ACGAACGCUGGCGGCGUGCCUAACACAUGCAAGUCGAACGAGGUCCAUCCAGUGGCAACACUGGUGAAGACCUAGUGGCGAACGGGUGAGUAACACGUGAGAAACCCACCCCGAUCUCUGGGAUAACAGGUGGAAACACCUGCUAACACCGGAUGCCUUCACCGCAUCGCAUGGCGUGGUGAAGAAAGGUUACGGAUCGGGACGGUCUCGCGGCCUAUCAGCUUGUUGGUGGGGUAAUGGCCCACCAAGGCUUCGACGGGUAGCUGGUCUGAGAGGACGAUCAGCCACACUGGGACUGAGACACGGCCCAGACUCCUACGGGAGGCAGCAGUGGGGAAUCUUGCUCAAUGGGCGAAAGCCUGAAGCAGCAACGCCGCGUGCGGGAUGACGGCCCUCGGGUUGUAAACCGCUUUCAGCAGGGAAGAAAACAGACGGUACCUGCAGAAGAAGGUCCGGCUAACUACGU